GAUGAAGAACGUAGCGAAAUGCGAUAAGUAGUGUGAAUUGCAGAAUUCAGUGAAUCAUCGAAUCUUUGAACGCACAUUGCGCCUUCUAGUAUUCUGGGAGGCAUGCCUGUUUGAGCGUCAUUAAACCUCUCUCAAGUAUGAUUACUUGGAUGUGAAGGAAGAGUACCUUUAACUUAAGGAGUGUUCUCCUUUGAAAUUGAUUAGCAGAUGGUAAUGUUAUUAAAUCCCUGAUGUUGUAAGAAAUAACAGUGGUUUUGUAGACUAUUAUCUAGCUUUAAAUUAUAAUUUUUAUUAUGGUUGACCUCAAAUCAGGUAAGGAUACCCGCUGAACUUAAGCAUAUCAAUAAGCGGAGGA
rnacentral:misc_RNA from 1 species